AUCGCUAUGGCUGCGUUUGAAUCCAAACACACAUCCCACUGUUGUUUAUAAUCUUAUUGUUACAGUAUUCAAUCUCAUUGCUACGUAUCUUGCUUCGGAGGAACACGUAUUCAUUCCAUCAAUACAUUCUCAUACCCGUCAUAGCAACCGAGAACAAGGAAACUCGUCUUGAGUUUAACGUAUUAAGUAAUUCUUCAGCCACAAAGUUGACUUUGUUCCCAUAUAUUAUGGUCGAACAUAUCCGCAUCAAGACUACAACUUUCAAAAUGAUUUAACAGUGUUAAAAUACAAAAUAAUAGCGGUUAGUAUUGUUAGGAGUCAGUUCAGCAGUUAGUUUGUUAUUCUCAUCAAUCUAUUAAUCUGUUAGCAACAGUUAUGAACAAUAGCUAAACUCAUGUAAUCUAUAAAUAUUUUAAUGGUAGAGGAAGGAACAAAUACCUAUUUUCUUGAUCAAUACAAUCAUACUUUGUUCAUUGAAAGAUUUUAACAUGGUAUCAGUCGCCUUGGUCCUGGAGCUCUGAUUUUUUUUCUUGUAUUUCUGUUUCUUUCUUCAUUUUCAUGACUACUUCUACUGAUUCUGUUUCAGUCAAGCCUGGUUGCUUGACGUUUACUGGUGAUCAAAUCAUCCAUUCGUUUCCUCGUCAUGACACAAUUAAACUAGACAAUAGUAGUUUCAUUCAGUGGCAGCAACACACCCGAUUGAUUGUUGAAUGUUACGAAUUAACAGGUUUUUUGGAUGGGACCUUACCUUCUCCGCCACGGUUUGUGCAAUCGACUGAUGGAUCUCUUGUUUCUAAUCCACAUGCGUCGGCAUACACUCAAUAAGAUCGUCUGCUUGCUUCCUGGUUGCUCUCUACCAUACAUCCCUCCUUGUUGUCCUCUUUCACUGGUGCCCGAACAGCGUGUGAUGUGUGGACUACGGCCACUCAUUUGUUUGCGAUGGUCACAAGUGUGAAAGUGUCCAAAAUCCGUCAUAAGUUGCACUCUCUUAAGAAAUGUAAUCUUUCGAUUACAAAGUAUGUUGCACGAAUCCAAAAUACUUGUGCCCUGCUUGAUGCCUCAGGCUCUCAGGUCUCAGAGGCAAAAAAAUUUGAAGUUAUUUUGGCAAGUCUUCCACCGGAAUUUGAUGCAAUGAUUACGUUGGAGUCAUUUUCGGCUGAACCGUUACCUUUUCAACACCUUUUGGAUGUGUUUCUUGAGUAUGAAAAUUGACAGCUGCGAGUGAUUCAAGAGGUACCGAUUCAAGCUAAUAUUACGAAAUCUGUGCCGUCGCCGGUGAUGAUAGAGCCGGCUCGUGGUGGUCGAUUCCAUAAUGGGCGUGGUAGAGGGUUUCGCUCUCGAAUCUAGUGCCAAAUCUGCAGUCGAUUUGGACAUUUAGCUCAACGCUGUUUUUAUCGCUAUAAUCGCGAUUUCGAAGGUCCAACGUCCAUGGCUAGGUUGCGUGCGCCUGGUGGUGUUUCUGGUUGCUCAACAGCGUCCAACGAAUUUGCGUCUGACGAGUUCAGUGUGACGCCUUAUUUGUGUUGCUGGUCUGCUAGGGUUUCCAAUCCAUUUCUUAGUGUUAGUGAUGGUUUUGGGUGCCUGGAUGGAUUUGGUAUACAUGUUUGGGCCUAGGCAUGUGCUUCCUUCAUUUGCGCUUAGGCCAGACUCGUCAUUUGGGCUGCAUGUUGCGGCUACUGGCAAAUCGAAUGAGCAUGGGUCGUAUGUUGCUGAUUUUGGGCCUGUUGCUGGUACUAGUCAG
rnacentral:lncRNA from 1 species